UACGUGGGGUGCGAGCGUUAAUCGGAAUUACUGGGCGUAAAGCGUGCGCAGGCGGUUAUUUAAGUCAGGUGGGAAAGCCCUGGGCUUAACCUAGGAAUUGCGCUUGAGACUGGAUAGCUUGGAGUGCGGCAGAGGGAGGUGGAAUUCCACGUGUAGCAGUGAAAUGCGUAGAGAUGUGGAGGAACACCGAUGGCGAAGGCAGCCUCCUGGGCCAGCACUGACGCUCAUGCACGAAAGCGUGGGGAGCAAACAGG
rnacentral:rRNA from 1 species